rnacentral:rRNA from 1 species
GCCGGGUAGCUAAGUUCGGACGGGAUAACCGCUGAAAGCAUCUAAGCGGGAAGCCUCCCUCGAGAUGAGUUUUCCCAUGAAGCCCGUUGAAGACUACGACGUUGAUAGGCGAGGUGUGGAAGCGCAGUAAUGUGUGAAGCUAACUCGUACUAAUUGGCUGAAUGUCUUGACCAU